rnacentral:rRNA from 1 species
GACGCAGUAGGAUAGGCGAAGCGUGCUGUUGGAGUGCACGUCCAAGCAGUGAGAUUGAGUGUUAGGCAAAUCCGGCACUCUUAAGAUUGAGCUGUGAUGGGGAGAGGAACUUGUUCCUCGAGUCGUUGAUUUCACACUGCCGAGAAAAGCCUCUAGCUAGAAUAACGGUGCCCGUACCGCAAACCGACACAGGUAGUCAAGAUGAGAAUUCUAAGGUGAGCGAGCGAACUCUCGUUAAGGAACUCGGCAAAAUGACCCCGUAACUUCGGGAGAAGGGGUGCUCUUUGAGGUUCACGCUUCGAAGAGCCGCAGUGAAUAGGCCCAAGCGACUGUUUAUCAAAAACACAGGUCUCUGCUAAACCGUAAGGUGACGUAUAGGGGCUGACGCCUGCCCGGUGCUGGAAGGUUAAGAGGAGUGGUUAGCGCAAGCGAAGCUACGAAUCGAAGCCCCAGUAAACGGCGGCCGUAACUAUAACGGUCCUAAGGUAGCGAAAUUCCUUGUCGGGUAAGUUCCGACCCGCACGAAAGGCGUAACGAUUUGGGCACUGUCUCAACGAGAGACUCGGUGAAAUCAUAGUACCGGUGAAGAUGCCGGUUACCCGCGACAGGACGGAAAGA